CAUCUUUAGAAGCACAUAUGCUGCUGACGGGGUCUGUUGUACUUUCACUCGCUCUUCAAAUGAGAGUGCUGCUUUCUCCAUGCUGUACGGGCAGACUGAAGGGGAGAGAGGUGUAUCCCAAAAAAGUUUAAUUGUGCUCUGUGUGUUUCUGCAGAAUAAAACAUCUUGAGACUUCCUCCACCCGCAUUGUCUUUAUUGAGAAUAACAAAACACAACCAGAGUAAAUCU